UACAGAGGGUGCGAGCGUUGUCCGGAAUCACUGGGCGUAAAGGGCGCGUAGGCGGCCCGGCAAGUCAAUGGUGAAAGCUCAGGCUCAACUCUGAGUCGGCCACUGAUACUGCGGGGCUCGAGUCUGGUAGAGGCAGAUGGAAUUCCGGGUGUAGCGGUGGAAUGCGUAGAGAUCCGGAAGAACACCGGUGGCGAAGGCGGUCUGCUGGGCCAGUACUGACGCUGAGGCGCGACAGCGUGGGGGAGCAAACAGG
rnacentral:rRNA from 1 species